GAGUAACGAACGCUGGCGGCAGGCUUAACACAUGCAAGUCGAGCGCAAGGCAAGGGGAGCGGCAGACGGGUGAGUAACGCGUGGGAACGUACCAUUUGCUACGGAAUAUAUCAGGGAAACUUGUGCUAAUACCGUAUGUGCCCGAAAGGGACAAGAUUUAUCGGCAAAUGAUCGGCCCGCGUUGGAUUAGCUAGUUGGUGGGGUAAAGGCCUACCAAGGCGACGAUCCAUAGCUGGUCUGAGAGGAUGAUCAGCCACACUGGGACUGAGACACGGCCCAGACUCCUACGGGAGGCAGCAGUGGGGAAUAUUGGACAAUGGGCGCAAGCCUGAUCCAGCCAUGCCGCGUGAGCGAUGAAGGCCCUAGGGUUGUAAAGCUCUUUCACCGGUGAAGAUAAUGACGGUAACCGGAGAAGAAGCCCCGGCUAACUUCGUGCCAGCAGCCGCGGUAAUACGAAGGGGGCUAGCGUUGUUCGGAUUUACUGGGCGUAAAGCGCACGUAGGCGGGAUAAUAAGUCAGGGGUGAAAUCCCGGGGCUCAACCCCGGAACUGCCUGUGAUACUGUUAGUCUUGAGUAUGGUAGAGGUGAGUGGAAUUCCGAGUGUAGAGGUGAAAUUCGUAGAUAUUCGGACAACACCAGUGGCGAAGGCGGCUCACUGGACCAUUACUGACGCUGAGGUGCGAAAGCGUGGGUAGCAAACAGGAUUAGAUACCCUGGUAGUCCACGCCGUAAGUGAUGAAUGUUAGCCGUUGGGGAGUCUACUCUUCGGUGGCGCAGCUAACGCAUUAAACAUACCGCCUGGGGAGUACGGUCGCAAGAUUAAAACUCAAGUCCAUUGACGGAGGCCCGCACAAGCGGUGGAGCAUGUGGUUUAAUUCGAAGCAACGCGCAGAGUCUUACCAGCCCUUGACAUCGCGAUCGCGGUUAGUGGAGACACUAUCCUUCAGUUCGGCUGGAUCGGAGACAGGUGCACCAUGGCUGUCGUCAGCUCGUGUCGUGAGAAGUUGGGUUAAGUCCCGUUCGAGCCUACCCUCGCCCUUAGUUGCCAGCAUUCAGUUGGGCACUCACAGGUGACUGCCGGUGAUAAGCCGACAGGAAUUUGGGGAUGACGUCAAGUCCUAAUGGCCGUUACGGGCUGGGCUACACACGUGCUACAAUGGUGACGACAGUGGUCAGCGAGCACGCGUGUGUGAGCUAAUCUCCAAAAGCCAUCUCAGUUCGGAUUGCACUCUGCAACUCGAGUGCAUGAAGUUGGAAUCGCUAGUAAUCGCGGAUCAGCAUGCCGCGGUGAAUACGUUCCAUGGCCUUGUACACACCGCCCGUCACACCAUGGGAGUUGGUUUUACCCGAAGGCGCUGUGCUAACCGCAAGGAGGCAGGCGACCACGGUAGGGUCAGAUACUGGGGUGAAGUCGAUCCGUAG
rnacentral:rRNA from 1 species